rnacentral:misc_RNA from 1 species
GGAAGGUUUGAAAAUUUUAUUGCAUUAUCAGUUAACUCAGGUUUGUUUUGAAUAGAAGAUUCAUGGGCUCGGUGAGUUUCAGUUGUGAACUUUCAGAUCUAAGAACUGCUUAUGCAUUCUUUAAUUUUUGAGAUAUCAUCUGCUAGCAGGUUUUGUUAAUAUUUAGUAUCAGUAAUUUUACUAGUAACCACACUCUUUUAUUGCCAUGAUUUCAUGAAUGCACUACAAUGUUGGAUUGAAGUAGGGUUUAUCUAUAUAUCUGUUGGAACAACUCAUUGAUUUGGUCCUACUGGCUAAGAUGAGCUUUGUGAAUAUUGUCUUGUAUGGUUCUGUUUUGGCUUACUUUGAACUCUUUACUAGUAUAAACUUCUUGUAACUUUUAACUGGUGUCGCAAG